CAAACUGCGAAACGUAAUGCGAAUUGCAGAUCUCGUGAAUCAUCGAAUUUUUGAACGCAAGUUGCGCUCGCGGGUAAUCCUGCGACGAGGUCUGUUUGAGUGUCUGUUCUAAAAGGCAAAUAUAAAUAUUUUGUGCUGUCAGCAGUUGGGCU
rnacentral:rRNA from 1 species